rnacentral:rRNA from 2 species
GCUAUACAUGCAGUCGAGCGAACUGAUUAGAAGCUUGCUUCUAUGACGUUAGCGGCGGACGGGUGAGUAACACGUGGGCAACCUGCCUGUAAGACUGGGUAACUUCGGGAAACCGAAGCUAAUACCGGAUAGGAUCUUCUCCUUCAUGGGAGAUGAUUGAAAGAUGGUUUCGGCUAUCACUUACAGAUGGGCCCGCGGUGCAUUAGCUAGUUGGUGAGGUAACGGCUCACCAAGGCAACGAUGCAUAGCCGACCUGAGAGGGUGAUCGGCCACACUGGGACUGAGACACGGCCCAGACUCCUACGGGAGCAGCAGUAGGGAAUCUUCCGCAAUGGACAAAGUCUGACGGAGCAACGCCGCGUGAGUGAUGAAGGCUUUCGGGUCGUAAAACUCUGUUGUUAGGGAAGAACAAGUACGUCGUACCUUAGAGUAACUGGACGGUACCUAACCAGAAAGCCACGGCUAACUACGUGCCACAGCCGCGGUAAUACGUAGGUGGCAAGCGUUAUCCGGAAUUAUUGGGCGUAAAGCGCGCGCAGGCGGUUUCUUAAGUCUGAUGUGAAAGCCACGGCUCAACCGUGGAGGGUCAUUGGAAACUGGGGAACUUGAGUGCAGAAGAGAAAAGCGGAAUUCCACGUGUAGCGGUGAAAUGCGUAGAGAUGUGGAGGAACACCAGUGGCGAAGGCGGCUUUUUGGUCUGUAACUGACGCUGAGGCGCGAAAGCGUGGGGAGCAAACAGGAUUAAUACCCUGGUAGUCCACGCCGUAAACGAUGAGUGCUAAGUGUUAGAGGGUUUCCGCCCUUUAGUGCUGCAGCUAACGCAUUAAGCACUCCGCCUGGGGAAAGACUGAAAGUACGGUCGCCUCAAAGGAAUUGACGGGGGCCCGCACAAGCGGUGGAGCAUGUGGUUUAAUUCGAAGCAACGCGAAGAACCUUACCAGGUCUUGACAUCCUCUGACAACUCUAGAGAUAGAGCGUUCCCCUUCGGGGGACAGAGUGACCAGGUGGUGCAUGGUUGUCGUCAGCUCGUGUCGUGAGAUGUUGGUUAAGUCCCGCAACGAGCGCAACCCUUGAUCUUAGUUGCCAGCAUUUAGUUGGGCACUCUAAGGUGACUGCCGGUGACAAACCGGAGGAAGGUGGGGAUGACGUCAAAUCAUCAUGCCCCUUAUGACCUGGGCUACACACGUGCUACAAUGGAUGGUACAAAGGGCUGCAAGACCGGAGGUCAAGCCAAUCCCAUAAAACCAUUCUCAGUUCGGAUUGUAGGCUGCCAUGAAGCUGAACUCGCCUAGAAUCGCUAGUAAUCGCGGUCAGCAUGCCGCGGUGAAUACGUUCCCGGGUCUUGUACACACCGAAAUACGAUUAAAGACCCA